rnacentral:lncRNA from 1 species
UUGAGUACAAAAUUCUAAGUUUUCAAAGGUUUUGUAUAGAAGAACUAUACAAAUCCUUGGUAUUUCUAUUUUCUUUUCUACAUCAGUAAAAUGACCCCUUGUCCAUGUUGUCUGAGGGAGGGCUGUUCUCAACCUGAUAAUAACAAACACAGGUCAAAGUACGGCCUUUUACACACGGCUUUGAUACAGACCAAACAGCAGGCUAUAAAGGACCCAAAAUUAUUAGCGUACACAAUUCGAACAGGAAAACCAUCGAUCUAAUUUAUAUAUCAUGUAUAUCCAAACGGGAAAAUACCAAUGAACAACAUCAACAAACGAUAACUGCUGAACGACAAGCCCCUCAAUCAACCAGGACAGGUGCAUAAACAUGCAAAGGCUAUGGAUAGUUUUGUUUCGCCAGCAUACAAUAUAAUUGCAGUUGAAGGCAAAUUCUUCAGAAGUUCUUUGUACUUUAUUCUAACAACGAACAUUUUUGAUAGGGAAUAUAAGUAAGGGGGAAAGUAACCAAUUUUUUGUUC